UACAGAGGGUGCAAACGUUGCUCGGAAUUAUUGGGCGUAAAGCGCAUGUAGGCGGUCUGUUAAGUCGGUUGUGAAAGCCCAUGGCUCAACCAUGGAAGUGCGACUGAAACUGGCAGACUGGAGUCCUGGAGAGGGUGGCGGAAUUCCCAGUGUAGAGGUGAAAUUCGUAGAUAUUGGGAGGAACACCGGUGGCGAAGGCGGCCACCUGGACAGGUACUGACGCUGAGAUGCGAAAGCGUGGGGAGCAAACAGG
rnacentral:rRNA from 1 species